GUCCAGACUCCUACGGGAGGCAGCAGUGGGGAAUAUUGGACAAUGGGGGGAACCCUGAUCCAGCGACGCCGCGUGAGUGAAGAAGUAUUUCGGUAUGUAAAGCUCUAUCAGCAGGGAAGAAAGAAAUGACGGUACCUGACUAAGAAGCCCCGGCUAACUACGUGCCAGCAGCCGCGGUAAUACGUAGGGGGCAAGCGUUAUCCGGAUUUACUGGGUGUAAAGGGAGCGUAGACGGCGAUGCAAGUCUGAAGUGAAAGGCGGGGGCCCAACCCCCGGACUGCUUUGGAAACUGUAUGGCUGGAGUGCAGGAGAGGUAAGUGGAAUUCCAGGUGUAGGAGUGAAAUCCGUAGAUAUCUGGAGGAACAUCAGUGGCGAAGGCGACUAUCUGGCACAUAACUGACGCUGAGGAGCGAAAGCGUGGGUAGCAAACAGGAUUAGAUACCCCAGUAAC
rnacentral:rRNA from 1 species